rnacentral:rRNA from 1 species
CGCUUCUAGCCUUAUUAGUAUUAGAGGUACUGAAUGCCCAGUGACAUAAGUUUAACGGCCGCGGUAUCCUGACCGUGCAAAGGUAGCAUAAUCACUUGUUCCCCAAAUAGGGACUUGUAUGAAUGGCCACACGAGGGUUCAACUGUCUCUUACUCCCAAUCAGUGAAAUUGACCUCCCCGUGAAGAGGCGGGGAUAAUAUAAUAAGACGAGAAGACCCUAUGGAGCUUUAAUUAACCAGACCUAAAGAGAAUUAAUACUAAUCAACAUGAUCUAACAUAACUCUAUUUAGACUAAUAAUUUGGGUUGGGGUGACCUCGGAAUAAAAUAUAACUUCCGAGUGAUUAAUAUUUAGACCUACAAGUCAAAAUAGUACCAUCAUUUAUUGAUCCAAAAAAUUUGAUCAACGGACCAAGUUACCCUAGGGAUAUCAGCGCAAUCCUAUUCAAGAGUCCAUAUCGACAAUAAGGUUUACGACCUCGAUGUUGGAUCAAGACAUCCUAUGUGGAGCAGCCGCUACUAAGGUUCGUUUGUUCAACAAUUAAAGUCCU